rnacentral:snRNA from 13 species
AGCUUUGCACAGUGGCAGUAUCAUAGCCAAUGAGGUUUAUCUGAGGCAUAAUUAUUGCUAAAUGAAAACUUUUCCCAAUACCCCGCCAUGAUGACUUGAAAUAUAGUCGGCGUUGGCAAUUUUUGACAGUCUCUAUGGAGA